UUCUCAGCGUCAUGUCCUGCUCCCACCAUCCCCCAUUCUCCAAAUGUAGUUAGGGACCCUGAGGCCAGAGAUUACGGAGACCCAGGAAAUCACCGCUGCCCCAGGUGGGUCCGGCAGAGACCGAGAGCGACUCCUGCAGCGAUCCUGAAAUCCUGCCUGGAGGGUCCUACUCUUCUCUGUCCAGGGUCACAACCACACUGGCCACCCAGGAGCCGAGACCCGGACUCCCCUCGCAGCCUUGGUUCUCUCGCCAGCGUCCCCACACACACCCCCCUUUUGCAGAGAGGGCGGCCGGAAGGGACAAACUGAAUCACUGUAAGAGGCCAAGUUGGGAAAGGCGUGGAUACCAGAUUCUGGGCUUCCGGAGAGCCCCAAGGUCCCCCUCCCGAACCCGCUGCGGCAGCCUGAGCAUUUAUGGUGAGAGGAAAUUGAGUCCGAGGCCAGGCUCAAGGAGUGAAAAGGGCAAGAACAGAAUUCUUACGCUUGGGCUUGGACAAAUGUACCUCUGGGUCUGUGGGACCUGGCGUACGUUCCUUCUGAGAGCUGCCAGGUCUGAGAGGAGGCUGGGGGCAGUGCCAGGUCGGCUGCAGCCGCAGUGGAGCAAUCAGUUUGGGAGGCGACCAAGGCCCGCCCCGAUUGCUCUGUGGUAGGGCAGAGGAGCCUGAAUGGGAAGCCCCCACCGGGGACAUCGAGGACUAGUCGUUACUCCUCAGCCAGGAGGUUCCCCAAGGUGACACGGGCUGGCGGGGCUGAGUGGGGUGGUUGCGACGACGCUGGGUAUCCGGGCCAGCUUGUAGCUACUGCCUUGGCCAGUCAUCCCGGCCUCAGGACACCUGUCACGGCCCCCUCUGCCUUCCCAAGCCGAGGGCUACAAGGGCAGCUGGGGCGUACUCGGGCCGAAUUCUCCGGAGCAGCUCCGGGCAGAGCCGGGCCCGCCCCUUAGGGCUGCGGCACACGGGGCG
rnacentral:lncRNA from 1 species